UACGGAGGGUGCAAACGUUGCUCGGAAUUAUUGGGCGUAAAGCGCACGUAGGCGGCUCCUCAAGUCGGAUGUGAAAGCCCUGGGCUCAACUCAGGAAGUGCAUCCGAAACUGUGGAGCUUGAAUGCCGGAGGGGCCCAGAGAAUUCCCGGUGUAGAGGUGAAAUUCGUAGAUAUCGGGAGGAAUACCAGUGGCGAAGGCGCUGGGCUGGACGGUCAUUGACGCUGAGGUGCGAAAGCGUGGGGAGCAAACAGG
rnacentral:rRNA from 1 species